rnacentral:tRNA from 1 species
UGCUUGAUAAGUUGGUUAGUAGCACCUGACUCUCCCGAUAGCUAUCGGGACAGGGGGUCGUUGGUUCAAGCCCAACAGGGUCCA